CCCCAUCGUGGCGGAUGAGAUCUGUCGGCAGCAAUACCUCAGGAUUGGCAAGGUUAUCAAGGAUGACAUGCUGUGUGCCGGCAGUGAAGGCCCGAGCACCUGCAAAGGUGACUCUGGGGGCCCCUUGGUCUGUAAAUUGAGGGGUACCUGGGUCCAGGUAGGCGUGGUGAGUUGGGGGCACAAGUGCGGUCUUGACAACUUUCCUACAGUCUAUGCCCGAGUGACAUCCUUCUUGUCUUGGAUCCGCGGUCAUAUUGGUUCCUCUCCUUGAGCCCGGGGCCGGGCAAGGAUGCUGCCCAUGAGCUGAAGACAGGCUCUCCAGGGUGUCUGGGGACCCUCCCUGCUUUUCAUUGCCCCUAGCGCCUCCUCCACCCCUCCCCCGUCACCCCCCACCUGCUCUGAGAUCCUCCUCCCUCAGGACCUCCAUCAGCCUCUCUCCCCUGACAGGCAAAAGGGAGAGGUGGGAUGUGCUCUGAAGUCCGCGGGCACUGCAGGACUCCUGCCUCCUCCCCACCCUCUGGAGCUCAUUAAACUGCAUGAACAACUG